CCUUGAAAGAAGAUAAAGAGUGUA
rnacentral:piRNA from 1 species